GGGAAUAUUGGGCAAUGGGCGCAAGCCUGACCCAGCAACGCCGCGUGAAGGAAGAAGGCUCUCGGGUUGUAAACUUCUUUUAUCAGGGACGAAGCAAGUGACGGUACCUGAUGAAUAAGCCACGGCUAACUACGUGCCAGCAGCCGCGGUAAUACGUAGGUGGCAAGCGUUAUCCGGAUUUAUUGGGUGUAAAGGGUGCGUAGACGGGAAAUUAAGUUAGUUGUGAAAUCCCUCGGCUUAACUGAAGAACUGCAACUAAAACUGAUUUUCUUGAGUACUGGAGAGGAAAGUGGAAUUCCUAGUGUAGCGGUGAAAUGCGUAGAUAUUAGGAGGAACACCAGUGGCGAAGGCGACUUUCUGGACAGUAACUGACGUUGAGGCACGAAAGUGUGGGGAGCAAACA
rnacentral:rRNA from 1 species